AUUCUCAUAAGAUGAUCUUGGAUUUGUUCCUUUAACACUGACUCUUAGCACAGUCCUGAUUUCUGUAUUAAUGAAUUGAGAAGAUGGCAUGAGGCUCUUAGAAUGUAUUUCAACAAGCAAUGAGGAUCCAGUCCAUCACAGAGUAUCCACAACUUUCCAGACCAACAUAUGUGCCAGACAUCUGCAUCGCAGUAGACCGAUCUAUUCAGGAGAAAUUUCAACCCAGUAAAGAAUCAGAAACCAAAUCAAACCACACCUGAGGUGUGAAAAAUAGUGUUGUCUGAGUGCAUACUCUGCUUGAGGUCAGUAACAAAGUAUGUGCUUGUUAUAAUCCAAAGGUGAGAAUUCAGGAGCAAAGAUUGGGGAUGUCUUUCCCAGGAAGAUGUGCAUAAUUAUGGCUGAACCUGCCCAAUGCUGGGAGCAAUUUUCAGAAGAGUUACCCCAUAGAUAUUGGCUGAAGAAGAUUGAAACUGGAGAGGGAGCUCUCACCACACCAACCUAUAUGACAGUGCUACCACCCCAGGAAUAAAGAGUGUUCUUCCAAAGUGAAGAGGGGAGAUCUCCCACUCCUUUUAACAGAGUAGCUUUCCUUUACUUUAAACCCUGUCAACACAGAAUUUGGCCCAUCAGUCCCCUGACAUGGGGUAAGGUGGGGGAAAACUAGACUGAAAUAAAAGGAGAUAGACAGGGUUGAUUUCCUUCCUGAUCUUGAUUGCCACCACCAACUACUAGAGUAAUGAAAGUUAUUUGUGGUGCUGCAAUAAUUCCCAAUAUUUCUGGUUUAAAUGAUUGUGCUAUAUGGUAGAAUCUCAGCAAACAAGUUGAGAACAAGACUGGAAAUGUGUUUUAGAGUGGUGUAGUGUACAAGUCGCUCAUCAGAAAUCUCUGCUCAUUAUUUCUAGGUAUUUGUUUUCAUGUUCCAUUGAAUGAUCAUUUAAGAGAGUGUACUUGUGUUGAUGCCUGUAGGGAGGAGCAAAUGAAUAUGCAAAUAAUAAUAAUGUAUGUGAUGAGAUUUUACUAUUUGAAUAUCAAUAUGCUAGAUAUUUUACUAUAUGUUGUCAUAGUGUAGGACCAGCUGAUCACAUUUCACUGAGUAUUUCUAUAAAAACAAUUUUGUGAUUUAUUGAAGGUCAAAUGUACACAUACACACGAGCAUGUAUUAAAGUUGUGUAAACCAUUUUCCACAUAACAGACAGCUGGCACAAUUUUGCCAGAAAAGCUGACACUUAUGAAUGAAAAAUAAAGCAAACAGAAACCUGUUACCUGGGAGGAUAAUGGGACAGCUUCAGAGCAUGGAGUAAAUUCUGCUUGUCUUGACAUGGAGACACUGGCUGAAUUUUGUCCACAAGAUGUUAGCAACGUUCAGAUUCCUCAUGGGAAGAGGGGGAGAGGGAAGGGCACUCAGUGGGGUAGUAGGGUCUUUUAGCACAUAUGGAAAAACACACAUAGAAAUGAUGAAAAAAUGUGUUUAAGCAGCAAAAGCAGCAUGUACAGUACCCCUGUAACAGAGUUUGAAAGCAGGGACUUUUCUUGAAAAUAAAAAUAAUGCACACAA